rnacentral:pre_miRNA from 1 species
UAAUCUCUGCAGGCUGGCAGGCCCCAGGCUGGGCUGGAAGAGUACCUCUUUGAAAGGCUCACCCUCAAGCUCGACUAGGAGG